rnacentral:tRNA from 1 species
GGGGAUGUGGCUCAGUGGCAGAGCAUUCACCUAGCAUGCACAACAGCCUGAGUUCAAUCCUCAGUACUGCCU